rnacentral:rRNA from 1 species
AUGAACGCUGGCGGCGUGCCUAAUACAUGCAAGUCGCGCGAACAGACGAGGAGCUUGCUCCUCUGACGUUAGCGGCGGACGGGUGAGUAACACGUGGAUAACCUACCUAUAAGACUGGGAUAACUUCGGGAAACCGGAGCUAAUACCGGAUAAUAUAUUGAACCGCAUGGUUCAAUAGUGAAAGACGGUUUUGCUGUCACUUAUAGAUGGAUCCGCGCCGCAUUAGCUAGUUGGUAAGGUAACGGCUUACCAAGGCAACGAUGCGUAGCCGACCUGAGGGGGUGAUCGGCCACACUGGAACUGAGACACGGUCCAGACUCCUACGGGAGGCAGCAGUAGGGAAUCUUCCGCAAUGGGCGAAAGCCUGACGGAGCAACGCCGCGUGAGUGAUGAAGGUCUUCGGAUCGUAAAACUCUGUUAUUAGGGAAGAACAAAUGUGUAAGUAACUAUGCACGUCUUGACGGUACCUAAUCAGAAAGCCACGGCUAACUACGUG